CCUCACAAGUCCUUCAGGGGUUGACAUUGGCUGUUUGUCCCCUGGGCAUGACUGCACUCUAGAGACAUUCACCCAUUGAAUUCCACAGUUGGUCAGGCCCAGCUUGGUGCAGGGUGCCCUUGCAGUGGAAAACCAUGACUCCCCAAAAAACCUUGCAGAUGGCUUCAAGGGCAAUCUCUGCCACGGCUUGCCUUGCUGCUGUCAUUCCUCUCUCAACCACAUGGGAUACAUGAGACCACAUCCUCGGACACCAGUGGCCCAGUGCUUCAUGAAAAAGGAGAGGAGGAAGAGCAUUUCUCCUGCUUCCUCUGAGAAACCUGCGGAGGUUUCCAGCGUGGAAGAGGUUGCCAGCACUUGGGGACCCCAGCACCAGUCAGCAACACGUCAAGAGCCUCUACUUUGACUAAACUGUUCAAAACCAAGAAUACUGCGUGUUUCCCCACUUUGAUACAGACCCCAGCCCCUUGAGUUGACUGGGGUAGCCUAGGAAGGAAGACCACCACUAAUAGCAGAGACUACUUGGGCCCACCAGGAGCUUAUGAGAUGAGCACUCAAAAGCUAAAAACAAAAAC
rnacentral:lncRNA from 1 species